AGAGUUUGAUCCUGGCUCAGAGUGAACGCUGGCGGCGUGCUUAACACAUGCAAGUCGAACGGUAACAGGAAGUAGCUUGCUACUUUGCUGACGAGUGGCGCACGGGUGAGUAAUAUAUAGUUAAUGUGCCCCAAAGACUGGGAUAGCCACUGGAAACGGUGAUUAAUACCAGAUACACCAUUUAAUCAAAAGAUUAAAUGGGAAAUGUCUUUUCGCUUUGGGAUCAGACUAUAUCCUAUCAGUUAGUUGGUGAGGUAAGAGCUCACCAAGGCAAUGACGGGUAGCGGGUUUGAGAGGAUGAUCCGCCACACUGGUACUGAGACACGGACCAGACUCCUACGGGAGGCAGCAGUGAGGAAUAUUGCACAAUGGGGGGAACCCUGAUGCAGCAACGCCGCGUGGAGGAUGACGCAUUUCGGUGUGUAAACUCCUUUUAUAUGUCAAGAAAA
rnacentral:rRNA from 1 species